rnacentral:rRNA from 1 species
AGAGCUUUUUCAUGGCUCAGGAUGAACGCUGGCGGCGUGCCUAAUACAUUCAAGUCGAGCGGCAGCACGGUCUUCGGACUGGUGGCGAGCGGCGGACGGCAGAGUAACGCGUAGGAAUAUACCCCAAAGUGAGGGAUAAGCUCCAGAAAUGGAGUCUAAUACCGCAUAUGGUCUUCGGAUUAAAGCCUUCGGGCGCUACGGGAAUAGCCUGCGUUCGAUUAGCUAGUUGGUGAGGUAAUGGCUCACCAAGGCGACGAUCGAUAGCUGGUCUGAGAGGAUGAUCAGCCUGACUGGAACUGAGAUACGGUCCAGACUCCUACGGGAGGCAGCAGUAGGGAAUUUUCCACAAUGGGCGAAAGCCUGAUGGAGCAACGCCGCGUGCAGGAUGAAGGCCUUCGGGUCGUANACUGCUUUUAUGUGCGAAGAAUAUGACGGUAACACAUGAAUAAGGGUCGGCUAACUACGUGCCAGCAGCCGCGGUCAUACGUAGGACCCAAGCGUUAUCCGGAAUUACUGGGCGUAAAGAGUUGCGUAGGUGGCAUAAUAAGUGGAGCGUGAAAGCGUGUGGCUCAACCAUACAGCUGCGUUCCAAACUAUUAAGCUUGAGUAUGAGAGGGGUAGAUGGAAUUUCUAGUGUAGGAGUGAAAUCCGUAGAUAUUAGAAGGAACACCGAUAGCGUAGGCAGUCUACUGGCUCAUUACUGACACUAAGGCACGAAAGCGUGGGUAGCAAACGGGAUUAGAUACCCCGGUAGUCCACGCCGUAAACUAUGGAUGCUAGCUGUUACUCACAUCGACCUGAGUAGUAGCGAAGUUAACGCGUUAAGCAUCCCGCCUGGGGAGUACGGUCGCAAGAUUAAAACUCAAAGGAAUUGACGGGGACCCGCACAAGCGGUGGAGCGUGUUGUUUAAUUCGAUGGUAAGCGAAGAACCUUACCAAGGCUUGAAAUCUCUGGAAGUCUGCUGAAAGGCGGAUGUGCCUUCGGGAACCAGAUGACAGGUGCUGCAUGGCCGUCGUCAGCUCGUGUCGUGAGAUGUAUGGUUAAGUCCAUUAACGAGCGCAACCCUUGUGUUUAGUUGGAUUUUUCUAAACAGACUGCCCCGGCAACGGGGAGGAAGGAGGGGAUGAUGUCAGGUCAGUAUUGCCCUUACGCCUUGGGCUACAAACACGCUACAAUGGCCGGUACAAAGGGCUGCCAACCCGCGAGGGGGAGCAAAUCCCAUCAAAACCGGUCUCAGUUCGGAUUGCAGGCUGAAACUCGCCUGCAUGAAGCUGGAAUCGCUAGUAACGGUAAGUCAGCACAUUACCGUGAAUACGUUCCCGGGUCUUGUACACACCGCCCGUCAAACCAUGAAAGUCGCCAACACCAAAAGUCUGAGCUUUGUCUCGGCCUAAGGUGGGGGAGAUAAUAAAGGGUAAGUCGUAACAAGGUAGCCGUA